UUCUUGUUUAGUGUAUAUAAUAAGUAUAAUCUGCCCAGUGAAAGUAUUAAACGGCUAUAUGAAAUAUUAAAGUAGCGUAAUAAAUUGUCAUUUAAUUAAUGAAUAUAAUGAAGAUUUUAUGAAUUAAAUACUGUCUUUAAGAUAUAAAAUAAAAUUAAUAAUUUAGUGAAAAAUCUUAAUUAUUUUUAAAAGACGAUAAGACCCUAUAGAACUUAUUUAAAAUCUUAAAUUUGCUGGGGAAGCAAAAAUAGAAUUAAAGUUAUUUUUUAACAUAAAAAUAUAAAAUUAUUAUAACCAUUAAUUUUAAUGAAUAAAAAGUUACCUUAGGGAUAACAGCAUUAAUAAUAUAAAAAGUCCUUAUUUUAAUAUUUUUUAAUGACCUCGAUGUUGAAUUAAGAUAAAUUUAAAAAGUAAAAAUUUUAUUUAAUUAGGUCUGUUCGACCUUUAAAAUCUU
rnacentral:rRNA from 1 species